rnacentral:hammerhead_ribozyme from 1 species
AUCUAAGCUGAUUAGUCCCAAUUAGGACGAAAUGCGCAUCCUAGAU